rnacentral:rRNA from 1 species
GAUGAACGCUGGCGGCGUGCCUAAUACAUGCAAGUCGAGCGAACGGACGAGAAGCUUGCUUCUCUGAUGUUAGCGGCGGACGGGUGAGUAACACGUGGAUAACCUACCUAUAAGACUGGGAUAACUUCGGGAAACCGGAGCUAAUACCGGAUGAUAUUUUGAACCGCAUGGUUCAAAAGUGAAAGACGGUCUUGCUGUCACUUAUAGAUGGAUCCGCGCUGCAUUAGCUAGUUGGUAAGGUAACGGCUUACCAAGGCAACGAUGCAUAGCCGACCUGAGAGGGUGAUCGGCCACACUGGAACUGAGACACGGUCCAGACUCCUACGGGAGGCAGCAGUAGGGAAUCUUCCGCAAUGGGCGAAAGCCUGACGGAGCAACGCCGCGUGAGUGAUGAAGGUCUUCGGAUCGUAAAACUCUGUUAUUAGGGAAGAACAUAUGUGUAAGUAACUGUGCACAUCUUGACGGUACCUAAUCAGAAAGCCACGGCUAACUACGUGC